AGGUAAAUGGCAAAUUUUAUUAGUAACGUUCCCCUUCCCAAUCUAGCCAAAAUCUUCCCUUGGGAGUAACAACCUUUUUGGGUUGACAUCCCUACUCGAGGACGGGUUUUAGUCGGUAGGCGUUUCGGCAAAUCCGACACUACCCCCCUUUCAGGGGGUCUUUUGAAGAUUUCCCCUCCUCGAGGAUA
rfam:Agrilus planipennis Contig60376, whole genome shotgun sequence.